ACUCAAAGGAAUUGACGGGGGCCCGCACAAGCGGUGGAGCAUGUGGUUUAAUUCGAUGCUACGCGAAGAACCUUACCUAGAUUUGACAUCCCUUGACCGCGGUAGAAGUACCGCUUCCCCUUCGGGGGCAAGGAGACAGGUGCUGCAUGGCUGUCGUCAGCUCGUAUCGUGAGAUGUCGGGUUAAGUCCCUUAACGAGCGCAACCCUUAUCCCUAGUUGCCAUCAUUCAGUUGGGCACUCUAUGGAGACUGCCGGUGUUAAACCGGAGGAAGGUGGGGAUGACGUCAAGUCCUCAUGGCCUUUAUAUCUAGGGCUACACACGUGCUACAAUGGCCGGUACAGAGGGUUGCCAACCCGCAAGGGGGAGCUAAUCUCAGAAAGCCGGUCUCAGUUCGGAUUGGAGUCUGCAACUCGACUCCAUGAAGCUGGAAUCGCUAGUAAUCGCGGAUCAGAACGCCGCGGUGAAUACGUUCCCGGGCCUUGUACACACCGCCCGU
rnacentral:rRNA from 1 species